GGGAAUGUGUCUCAGUUGUAGAGAGCUUGCUUUGCAUGCAUGAGGCCCUGAGUUCGAUUCUUCAGCACCA
rfam:Dipodomys ordii contig_716, whole genome shotgun sequence.